rnacentral:rRNA from 1 species
AGGGUUUCAGCAGGCAGAUUCAUUUUCUGCCACCGAAUACAUUAGCAUGGGAUAAUGGAAUAGGACCCUGUCCUCCUAUUUUCAGUUGGUUUUGGCAGCGCGAGGACUAGGGUAAUGAUUAAUAGGGAUAGUUGGGGGCAUUAAUAUUUAAUUGUCAGAGGUGAAAUUCUUGGAUUUAUGAAAGAUUAACUUCUGCGAAAGCAUCUGCCAAGGAUGUUUUCAUUAAUCAAGAACGAAAGUUAGGGGAUCGAAGACGAUCAGAUACCGUCGUAGUCUUAACCAUAAACGAUGCCGACCAGCGAUUAGGAGACGUUGAAUACAAAACACCACCAUCGGCGCGGUCGUCCUUGGCGUUCGUGUUCACGCACGAGCGCGAGGGCGGUUUAGCCCGGUGGCACCGGUGAAUGACUCCCUACGGUUUUGGGGGAAAAUG